rnacentral:rRNA from 1 species
GACGAACGCUGGCGGCGUGCUUAACACAUGCAAGUCGAACGGAAAGGCCCUGCUUUUGCGGGGUGCUCGAUAGGCGAACGGGUGUGUAACACGCGAGUAACCUGCACCUGACUUUGGGAUAACAUCAGGAAACUCGGGAUAAUAUAGGGGAGGAGCUCCUGCUGCAUGGGGGGGGUUGGUAAGUUUCGGCGGUGGGGGAUGGACUCGCAGCUUAUCAGCUGGUUGGUGGGGUAGUGGCUUACCAAGGCUGUGACGGGUAGCCGGCCUGAGAGGGUGACCGGCCACAAUGGGACUGAGAGACGGCGCAGACUCCUACGGGAGGCAGCAGGGGGGAAUAUUGCACAAUGGGCGGAAGCCUGAUGCAGCAACGCCGCGUGCGGGAUGACGGCCUUCGGGUUGUAAACCGCUUUCGCCUGUGACGAAGCGGGAGUGACGGUAAUUGGUAAAGAAGCACCGGCUAACUACGUG